GUGCUCGCUUUGGCAGCACAUAUACUAAAAUUGGAACGAUACAGAGAUUAGCAUGGCCCCUGCGCAAGGAUGACAUGCGAAUUUGUGAAGCGCUCCAUAUUUUU
ensembl:snRNA U6 U6 spliceosomal RNA